AGAGUUUGAUCAUGGCUCAGAUUGAACGCUGGCGGCAUGCCUUACACAUGCAAGUCGAACGGCAGCACGGGAGCAAUCCUGGUGGCGAGUGGCGAACGGGUGAGUAAUACAUCGGAACGUGUCCUGGAGUGGGGGAUAGCCCGGCGAAAGCCGGAUUAAUACCGCAUACGCUCUAGCGAGGAAAGGGGGGGAUCUUAGGACCUCUCGCUCCCGGGGCGGCCGAUGGCAGAUUAGCUAGUUGGUGGGGUAAAGGCCUACCAAGGCGACGAUCUGUAGCUGGUCUGAGAGGACGACCAGCCACACUGGGACUGAGACACGGCCCAGACUCCUACGGGAGGCAGCAGUGGGGAAUUUUGGACAAUGGGCGCAAGCCUGAUCCAGCAAUGCCGCGUGUGUGAAGAAGGCCUUCGGGUUGUAAAGCACUUUUGUCCGGAAAGAAAACGUCUUGGUUAAUACCUGAGGCGGAUGACGGUACCGGAAGAAUAAGCACCGGCUAACUACGUGCCAGCAGCCGCGGUAAUACGUAGGGUGCGAGCGUUAAUCGGAAUUACUGGGCGUAAAGCGUGCGCAGGCGGUCUGUUAAGACAGAUGUGAAAUCCCCGGGCUUAACCUGGGAACUGCAUUUGUGACUGGCAGGCUAGAGUAUGGCAGAGGGGGGUAGAAUUCCACGUAGCAGUGAAAUGCGUAGAGAUGUGGAGGAAUACCGAUGGCGAAGGCAGCCCCCUGGGCCAAUACUGACGCUCAUGCACGAAAGCGUGGGGAGCAAACAGGAUUAGAUACCCUAGUAGUCC
rnacentral:rRNA from 1 species